CAAGCUCAUCUUUAUUUGCCUCAAUAGUAUAUAGAUGAAUAGCCGGGUUUUUUUUUUUGCCAUACAUUAAUUAACAUGAGACAAAAACGAAAAUUAAAACUGUACAAUGAGAAGAUCAAAAGUGUGAACCAUCUUCAUGGUUUAUGUGUUCACCGUUAAGGUCUACAGUCGGAUAGAAACUAGGGAGAAGGAUCGGCACUACAGGGAGUGAUGCUUGGAUAUGUUCCACACUAUGAGAAGCCAAACGUUAAAUUAAACAAAGUACAUGGUACUGAUUCUGUACAGAAAAAACAAAAAAUGGAAGCCUAAAAAAAAGGAAAAAUUAAAUAUUAAUACUGUUAAUGACAAAAAAAUCCAAACUUCUUUGUGAUCGCUCAUUCAAAAUACUAGAAACCGAAUCUUAGUGCUAAGAUGAAGUGUGUAGGAUCUAGUGGCCUCCCGCGGUGAGGUUGCAACCAACUAAAUACCCUCCACAACAAAGCAGGAGAGGCUAUGGUGGCCUAUAAGAUGCCAGCAGCAUCGAGCAGCCAGGGCUCAAGUGAAACGGUGCCUUGAUAUUCAUCAAAUGGGUCUGGUUAGUCCAUAUAGUAAUAGGUUAUAGCUUACAAGUAAGAUAGCGAUUCAAAAUACACAUGAUAAAUUAAAACCCCAUCCUCUCUUGAGCAGUUUGUCCGUUCUUGGCUACUGUAGGAACUUGUUUGUUAUGAAAAGAUUGCGGGCUCUGUGGAAGAGGAUCCUCUCCCUAUUUUGAUAUAAAGAGCUCGUUCUAGUAAUUCUAGUAACAAUCCUCAUUUCAUGGGAUUAUCACUAAUUUAUGAAUAUUAUAUUAAAUUCCUGCGAAGAUGCCACACCAUUCUACACCGUCCACCUUUAUAAACCCCAGCUGUGACUUGCCUAAGUCUUCCUGCUGCGGUUCUAUGGAUCCUUGCUUAACUUUAAAGGGUCUGAGGUCACACAGUCCAUCCAGCGACAUGACCUUAAAUCAUCUCGACAUCCACCCCACAUAAACGGCACAAAUUAAACCUGUCUGGUCAGCGGUUCGUGUGCCCCACAUGUCAAUGGGUCACUGAGAGGACAAUCAAAGAGGGGG